CUCCUUCCUUCAGGAGAAGCCUUUUCUCGCCCCGGCCGCAAGGCGCGUGGUGUCUUCCGCCGGCCGAUUCUCCCGCGAAGUUCAGGUUUUUCAAGAUACGUGGGCUUGGGACGGGUCGGGAACAGCAAGAAAUUCAGACUCAGUUGCGUGGCUCCGAAUGGACCUAAUACUUCCAGUUAAAGUUGGAGAUGCUAUAGAGACAAGAUCCUUUGAUCGUGGUUAUAGGGGCGCAUGGUUCCGUGGCAAGCUCACCGACAUGCGUAUCAGGGACGGUCACCUGGAGUGUCAAGUGGAGUAUAUAGACUAUCCAGAUGAAAGUAAGUAAUUGUUUUAUGCCGAUAAAUCAAGAAGCCAAUAAAAUUAGUUUCUUCUGUUGAAAUUUGUUAUUUCCUACUCUAGGUUUGUUCGAGUGUUUGUCUAUUUGGAUAAUUGUUUUAAUUCUUCCGCCUAAUUUUUUGAAGAGAAGAAAAAUGCUGAUUAUUGGAGUCAAGGCUAUCUUGAGCUGACGGUGAACUUUACAAAAACUUUGUAGCUUAGCUCCCUUCCUACAACCUACAUUUCUUGUAGCUUACUGAAGCAACACAAGGGAGUAGCUCCACACUUUUGCUAUAAAGUGUACAUCACAAGUGUUGAAGGCAUUAGGAGUUCAAUCCACACCUGUAGGCCUCCGGAUGGAGGCUGCUCGAUUAGCCACAUUGGCUGAGCGAGAGCGCUUGGCCCGAGUGGUGCAGAACUUGAUGGCGCGUCCUCGGAACACUCCUGGCACCAGUCUGUCUUGAAGGUGCCUGUUCCCAAUUGCUGAUGCGGGAGCCUACCCCGCCCAGCACACCGCAAUGCAAGGGGCAACCACUCAGAUAGCAGAUUUAAUUUAGCCGUUAGGUUCAACGGUGGAUGAUAUUCGUCAUGUUAUUGCUUCACCCAUAGUGGCUUUGUGACAAAAUGUGACAAAACCAGGCGGACACGCAAUCGCAUAAUUGUUGCUUUCCAAGUCGGCUCGAGCUGAUACCACAACAUUGAGCCACAAUCCUCAUGUGGGCCGCAGAUCCAAUGCUUUGCCACCUUGUCAGGGCGUAUCUCCUCCUCGAUCUAGUGAUGUGUCGCAUCAUGGGGAUCUGACUCCACCACGCCGCGAAGAUCCAUCUUGUGCCUGAAGAUGUUCACCUAGUCGCAAUGAUUAUUCACCUCCCCACCAGGAUGUUUAACCCCCAUGUUAUGGCUACUCACCACGUCAAUGAGAUGUGUCUCCUUGGCGUCAUGGGGAUUCUCCAUGCCAUAGGAUGAUUGACCCGUCCUAAGCAGGGAUGAUUGACCGUUGUGAUGCUCAGGAUCAUUUGGCCCAGAAUCGGGGACAGGCGGAGCGUGGUUACUAUGAAGGGGAUAUUCUGAGUGCUUCUAAUAUUUCAGGUCCCUUUUGUUUUAGUCUGAAUGGCAUCUGAUGGUGAUAAAUACAACGAAAAUUCCAAACCUGAAACUUGGCUUGAUUAUUAUCUCAUUCGGAUUGGUUGCAGUGAUGAUGGUGUUGCUAUGAAUCACCUUCCACUGGUGCUGGAGGGGUCAGCUCGAGCUUGGCUCAAGCACUUGCCGCCCAAUGGUAUUUUCAGUUGGGGAGAUUCUCAGAGGGUUUUUUGUCAAAAAAUAUGAAGGCCCUUACAAGCGUCCUGAUGGAAUGACGGAGCUGUAGUUGUGCGUCCAGAAGCCCAAUGAAACCACUCGGGAGUAUAUCCAGAGAUGGGCUACAAUUCAUAAUUUAGCAAGGCAUCAUAUAUUGCAACCUGUGCCUGAAACUUGGCCACUUGGAAGUUGGCACCUUGGGCCGACUGAUGGAAAUAGCAAACGGCCAUGCAAAUGGUGGGGAAGAGGAGCGAAUCCUUAGAGGCAAGGGACAUGCAGAGCCGUCUCAUCAGAAGAAUAACAAUCAGUCAGGGCCAAGCAUGAACAACAAUAAUAAUAGUAACACCAAGCGCAAGUCAGAUGGGAAGAUGGUGUCAGCGGCACCGAGUUGGUGGCAAUUGCCAAUCAAAACAAAGGAAAAGGAAACCAGAAGAAAGAGUGGAUACCUCGUAAAAAGGAAGCCACAGAAGGUGAUAUUCUGGACAAACCGUGUAUCAUCCACAUCACCAAGGACGAUGAUGGAAAUCUUGUAUACCUGAACCACACCACUCGGCAGUGCAUGGCUCUAAAGACGACGAUGUCAGGCAAGUUGGCCGUCAACGCCUUCUGAAGGCAAGAGCAAAGACGAAGAGGAGGAUGACCAAGACAACUGGUAUUUGAGAGAGCAAAGCGUACUCUUGAUCUUUGCAGAUCCUGAGUCAAAACGUGUGCAUAAGCUUUGUAGUCGUGGAUGUGAAUGUCGUCGUAAUCUCAACUCCUAAAUACUUGGAUUGGUCGGAAAUAUCCAUUACUUUUGAUUAGUUGGAUCAGCUAGUGCAUGUUCUAAGAGCUAAUCGUAGAUCCACUUGUGAAUGGUUACCGACUGCGGUAUGGACUGAUGGAUGGCGACAAUGGGAUAAACUUAAUCUACGCCAGCACGCUGAAGCACAUGGGCAUUCCCUUAUCCAAGUUGAGUGUGAUCCACAUGCAGUUCCAUGAAGUGAUCCCAUGAAAGAAGCCCUGAGUCUUUGGGGCUAUACCUUGGAGGUAGUGCUUCGUGACAAGAUUUUUUUAGAAAGAGAACCUCAUUUUCGAGGUGGUGGAUUUCUAGAGUGCAUAGCAUGCAGUUAUUGGGCGAUCAGCCUACACCAAGUUUAGGGCUUGACCGUGUUAUGUGUAUCUGAAACUUAAGAUUCUUGGCCCAAAAGGCGUGAUUACUAUCUUUGGCAAUGUCAAGGGAGUAGAGAAUUGCCUGCAGAGGGGCUUGGAUAUCGUUGAUGCUCAAAUGGUGGCAUUCGAGCUAGAAGAAUACAAGAAGACCGCAGAGCAGGCUGAUCCAUCUUCGAGAUGGUGGAUUUCCAGAGUGCAUAUCAUGCAAUUCUUGGGUGAUCCGACUGAAACAUUAAUACUUACCAGCAAGCUUCUAAGUGGAUUGGUUUAGGUGAUCCACUAAGUACCUCUCAUUGUCUUCCAUAACAUGGGUGAUUCUUUCUAUGUCUUGUUCAUGAUGGGCCUUCUCCUUGUGUUGAAGAUCUUUCAGGCUAAGGAAGUUCAUCUAAAGUUGCCGAUUUUCAGGGUUAAGCUUGUCGUUCUUUUUCUUAAGGUUUUCAACUUCCUCUCGGUACAACUUGUUCAGUUUAGCAAUUUCUUCAAACUCAUUCAGCUGAUGUUCAACCUUCUUGAUUUUCAGUCGAGUCUCCUUCUUGUUCGCUAGCUCGGCAUCCCUCUCCUUCAGAGCCUUGGCCAGCUUGACAUCUUUUGCCUCCAGUCUCUUUCAGAUGGUUUUUGCACAUACUCAAUUCUCUAGUUGGUUGGUCAAUAGUCUAUUUUCAGCAGGUGUAUCUGUCAGAAUCAGUUAGGACAGGGAUGAGAAAUAAGGUUAACUAAAGAUAGUUUGAUUUAUGGAACUUACCACCAUUGUAGUCUCCAGUUAAGAUGCAAUUGAUCCCUUUUCUGCAAGUCAUUGUACAAGCUCAUAGGUUUUCUGUUCAAACAGAAGAUGAAAAUUAAACCCGGAGAGUAGUUCAUUCGAGACUCCAACACUAACUGAUUACAUGUAAUCACUCGGAGUCUCGGGGGCUACACCCAGUGGGUGCACUGCUCGUGCCCCCACUGGAAGAAAAGUCCUAAGGAAAGAAUUCAACUUUAUUUUAGUUGAUUUUUUUGGAAUCCGUCUGGUUGUCAUGGGCUUGAAGCUUAGAGAGCCAAGUCUAUGAAGUUCAAAAAGCAAUUAAUUCUAAUUCAGUCGGUUCAUCCGAAUUGGCUGAUUGCUAUGGUCUUGGUGCAUAGAUAGCUAAGUCCAUAAAGUACUAAUAUUCUGUACUACUCUAGAGACUUUGACCAACUGCCAGCAGUUAAUCGUAGCCUCAAGGGCUACACCCAGUGUGUGCACUAAUUGUGCCCUCAACUAGAAGAAAAGCACAAACUAAAUUCGGUCGGACGACGGACAUCUAACAGAUAGCCAUGGGCUUGGAGCUCAGAGUGCCAAGUCCAUGAAGUUCAAAGAAUUUGUACUCUAGUUUAGUCGGAAUUUGGCUGAUGGCCAUGGGCUUGGAGCUGAGAGAGCUAAGUCCAUGAGUUUCAAAAAAUAAAUCCUACUUCUACUCUUCCGACUCCGAUCAACUACCAACAAUUAAUCGGAUCCUGAGGGGCUACGUCCACUAGGGCUAGAAAUUCACAAAGUAAUUCAGCCGGAUAUCUGGCAUCCGAGUGAUUACCAAUGGGCUUGGACUAAGAGACCCAAUUCCGUGAAAGUUGUGCCAACAAACCUGCAACGGCACAUAAUUUAUCCGAGACUGUCAACACUAGUUUUCCAUAUGUGUAAAUUAUUCCUUUUAUAUACUAACAGAAAGGAGAUGGAAUAGACUCUACAAAGUUCCCCCAAAAUGUCGUAAUCAGAAAGCAGGUCAAAAUAGGGAGAUCAUGUUACGACCUCCUUUUCCUCAAUGGUGUUGGGAGAAUGAUAUUCCUGAGCAUUGGCCACAGAUGGAUGUUGUAGCAGUUGUAAGCAGUCCUUGGAAAGUAGGUGACUUGAUUGACUGGUGGUACAAAGAUUGUUUCUGGACUGGCAAAAUUAUCGAGUUGCUGGGUGAAGACAAAGUUAAGAUAAUUUGUCCUGAGAAACCAAUAGGUGAAGGUGGAUGUUGGGCUGCCGAUACAAAGGACCUUAGGCCAGCGCUUGAUUGGCCCCUCUUAAAAGGUUGGACCGCCCCUCUUUCACAGGUAACUGGACUCUCAUUCACUACUUGAUGAAAAAUUCCUAUUUGAUCUCAUCCUUAAUAGUGCUAUAACCAGUUUUUCGAAUACCAACGUGCUCAUUUAACAAGGUUUGUAAAAUCAUGUGCAAUUAACAAGAUUCAACUACAUUUGUUAAAGGUCAUAUGCAACUAACAUGUUCUACAUCAUAGUUUCAAAUACGCAGUGAGCUAAAUGAGUUGUUGAUUGAUAAUUAGUUAGCAUACCCUUUUUGUUUCCCUAAAGAAGGCUAAUACCAUUUUCCCUAGUGGGAGUAUUUUUAUGGUUAAACAUGUUGUACUGUUCUCAAUCUUCCAUUUUGUUCAAGAUGGUUUAAUACCCUAUUGUGUUUCAUUUGAUGCGAAAUUUACAAUUAGUAACUAUAAUUGGUUGUCAGGCUUUCUAAUUGGUAAUUCCUCACGAGGAUUCUUGUUUGUUGAAGUUGAAUCCAUGGAGGAUACUUGGUGUUUUUUGUAUUUAUUUCUUCGCAAGUCACAAAAUGCAAAAUUAUGCUAGUUGGGAUAUUUUCGUUCGAUUAAUGCUAAUGGAUUCUAGUGUGACCCUGCUUUGGGAGAAGAGUGAUCAGGCUUUCUGCCCCUUCUUACUGUUGUGUCUUAACAUUCCAUUGACAUGCUUGAUCAUUUUGAUCCAAAUAGGGAUCUACAAGUCCAAGUCGUGUAAGAUGAUUCUCUACUAUGAAACUGUAGAGAAGAGCACUACUAGAAGUUAUUAUAAGCAAGAGCAACCUUUUACUCCUUA